UACGGAGGAUCCGAGCGUUAUCCGGAUUUAUUGGGUUUAAAGGGUGCGUAGGCGGCCUGUUAAGUCAGGGGUGAAAGACGGUAGCUCAACUAUCGCAGUGCCCUUGAUACUGAUGGGCUAGAAUGUGACUAGAGGCAGGCGGAAUGUGACAAGUAGCGGUGAAAUGCAUAGAUAUGUCACAGAACACCAAUUGCGAAGGCAGCUUGCUAUGGUAUAAUUGACGCUGAGGCACGAAAGCGUGGGGAUCAAACAGG
rnacentral:rRNA from 1 species